UACGUAGGGUGCAAGCGUUAAUCGGAAUUACUGGGCGUAAAGCGUGCGCAGGCGGUUGUGCAAGACCGAUGUGAAAUCCCCAGGCUCAACCUGGGAACUGCGCUCGAAACUGUGGGUCUCGAGUGUCGGAGAGGAUGGCGGAAUUCCUGGUGUAGAGGUGAAAUUCGUAGAUAUCAGGAGGAACACCGGUGGCGAAGGCGGCCAUCUGGACGACAACUGACGCUGAGAUGCGAAAGCGUGGGGAGCAAACAGG
rnacentral:rRNA from 1 species